rnacentral:rRNA from 1 species
UACGUAGGGGGCAAGCGUUGUCCGGAAUCAUUGGGCGUAAAGAGCGUGUAGGCGGCCCGGUAAGUCUGUUGUGAAAGUCCAGGGCUCAACCCUGGAAAGCCGAUGGAUACUGCCGGGCUAGAGUUCGGAAGAGGCGAGUGGAAUUCCUGGUGUAGCGGUGGAAUGCGCAGAUAUCAGGAGGAACACCUAUAGCGAAGGCAGCUCGCUGGGACGACACUGACGCUGAGACGCGAAAGCGUGGGGACGAACAGG